rnacentral:rRNA from 1 species
AGCAGCCGCGGUAAUUCCAGCUCCAAUAGCGUAUAUUAAAGUUGUUGCAGUUAAAAAGCUCGUAGUUGAAUUUCGGGGUUCUACCGUCGGUCGGGCUAACAAGUCUGUACUGGUGUGUAGAACUUCUACCUUCUGGGGAACUAUCAUGUUAUUGAUUUAGCGUGGUAGGAAACCAGGACCUUUACCUUGAAAAAAUUAGAGUGUUCAAAGCAGGCUUAAGUCUGAAUACAUUAGCAUGGAAUAAUAGAAUAGGACGGUGGUCCUGUUUUGUUGGUUUCUGAAUCACCGUAAUGAUUAAUAGGGAUAGUUGGGGGCAUUAGUAUUCAAUUGUCAGAGGUGAAAUUCUUGGAUUUAUUGAAGACUAACUUCUGCGAAAGCAUUUGCCAAGGAUGUUUUCAUUAAUCAAGAACGAAAGUUAGGGGAUCGAAGACGAUCAGAUACCGUCGUAGUCUUAACCAUAAACUAUGCCGACUAGGGAUCGGACGAUGUUAAAUUUUAUUGACUCG